CUGAUGUAUCACCUUAGGGCCCCGGAGAGUCAAAAGCUCCAUGAGGUGUGUUCCUUCUCUCCCCAGGGACUCAAGCCGCCACUGUCCCCGCCUUUCCACCUGGCACCUGGUCACGUGCCCCACCGCCCUCUGAAAGAGCCAGCUGGGCACCUGCCAUGGACUCCCCCGGGACCCCCAACUGGGCAGCCCUCUGGACUGACCCUCCUGGCACCCUCACUAACCCACACGAAAACACCAGGACCCUGGUCUACAAAGGCGCCAGCUACAGAAGAGCCACCCCAGGUCCCGCCUUCCCGGAGAGGGGGCUGGCUGCCCACCAUGCAAGGCAGAUGUCUGGGCCAAAGUGCCCACAAGCAGCAGCACUGGGGGGAGGGCAGCCAGUCCUCACGAAGCCUCCCUGCACUGAGAGAAGAACAACAAGGGGACAGCUGGGGGACAGCUGGGGGACGAGGCCAUGCCCCUUCCCAUGGCGGGGGCAACAGGCGGGGAAAUCACAGGGAGAGAACAGUGACUGGAGACGCGGCUACAGGGUGUGUGCGAGUGUACGUGUGUGCGUGAUGCAGAUGGGAGUGUCCGGGUGCGCGCACACGCACGGGUGUGUGUAAAUGCAGGGUGCUCAAGCGAGUGGGAGUGCGGACGUGUGCAAAUGAGCAUGCGUUUGUGUCUGGGCACACGCGUGUGUGUGCGAGGGGGCGGAGGGAGGGAAGAGGAGAGCAGAGCAGAGCAGAAAGACAGCCAUAGCAAGAAAGCCCCACUGCCCAGCAGAGCAGCCAACGGGAAGCCCCAGGAAGUAGGAGCUGCGCUCUCGCUGCUGGCUCCUUCUCAGAACCCAGCACGCCGCAGGUGCACGGCGACUUGCUGGUGCCCGCCCAACGGAUCAUGCAGGCCAUAGGUGCCUCCCGGUCCAGGAUGUGUUCCCCCCACUUUCCCCUAAGUCCACUUCCCCCUCACCUUCAGCAGUCAGCCCCUCCAGGCCAGCACGCCCCACCCCCAGGCCCCCGAGGGAGCCUUCUCUCAAUACGGGCUCGCUUCUCCUCACCCAGGAACAAGGGGAUUUCCUGCCUGUUUCUUCAGGCUGGGUGAUGUAAGCUGUUUUUCUAGUGUUCAGCCAAAGAACCCUCCAGGCCUUCAUUUGUCUAAAUGCAGAGGCCUUUGGGGACGAGCUUAGCUGGCUUACUUCCGCCCAGCAUCUUGUAGCCGUCCAGGCUAGUGCUGCCUCUAGACCGCUGGGGUGCAAGAAACAGGGCCCUGCAAAAGGAGUGAGGGGCCAGAGUCUUCCUCAGACCAGAUGCACCUGUGGACGUGGCCAGUGUUUCCCGCUGCGUCAGCUGGGGUUGGAACUGAGCCCAGUCGCACCUGAGGGUGUGAGAGACUCCAGGGCACCCAGUCCCGGCCCUGCUCUGGGAUCUGCACCCUGAGUGUGCAAUGGCCUGGACACGUCUAGAGGGAUCUCUUGCCCUAGCCUUCAGGAAGUCUUGGAGACAGUCCCCUCUCCUGGAUACUUCUCAUGUUCCCAAGUCUGGCUUCUCCUCACCCUGGGAGCCUACAUCAUGCCCCAGACGUGCACGACCACGGCACCGGUCGCAGUGGCCUGGGAUUACCCCAUCACCUGCCUCGCAGGGUGUGUAAUCUCAGAGAGGAAGACAGCCUGGAGCGGAGCGGGUUGCGCACCCAUUGCCCAGCACACAGUACAUGUCCAUGACGCACACAUGGAACGAGCAGGUCUCCCCUGCGCAGAGCCGAACGCCACCCUGGAGCCAGUGACCCCAGCAGAUGGGACCGAGGUGGGACUGGGAGCCUCUUCCAAAGGGCUGCCGGGAGAGCGGCCCGUCUCCCAGCCCUGCCCCCACCCUCCAGCUCCUGUCCCCCGCCAUCCCGCCCCGUCCCUGCCACCUCCUGACGCAGACUCAUCAGCUGUUGCCAUGGAGACCAGCCCGCAAUGGGCUCGUGCCCUCCCGCUGCACAGGGCGGGCAGAGCAACGGUGGCAGCCGGCUGUGCACAGAGAACACCUGCCCAGCGAGGCGGGCGCCCAGCUCCGGACGCAGACAAGCCGGGGUUCGGGGCCAGCACCCGCCCACCCGCACUGCCCUUCCCCUAGCGGGGUGACCUCGGGCAAGUCACUUCACCUCCCUGAGACAUGCAGGAUUUGAGGGAUGAUAUGAACCACGCCAGGCAAGGGUCAUCAACGUGUCAUUUUGGGGUGCCAGCCUCGACAUUAGCUUUCUUUUUCCAGACUUUCUGUCCCUUUGGCCUUUGUGCCCAAUUCCCCCCAACUCAGGUGGGUCAGGAAGGAGAGACUCCAGUCCCUGCUGGAAGUAAAAGACUGUGUGUGACACGUGAAGACUAAGAGGAAGCCUCCAGGGCCACUAAUGUGGCCUGGCCCUGGGACCACAAAGGUGGGUGCCACGCUGGCCUCUUGCCGUAGAAUGAGCAAACCCACUUGGGGCAGUGACCCCCGCCCUCGAAGGACGUCAGUUGGCCUCAAAUUUGCCUGACAGCCUCCAUAUCUCCCUAGAGUAGGGUUGGGGCAGGAGGUCUCCUGUCUCCUGGUCUCCUUAUUGCUUUACGUGGUCCCUACUUCUGCGGACAGCUGAAGAUCCCUGAGCCCGGAGGGGACCGGGAGACAGGAACGUGUGGAGAUGCCAUAAGUGGCCCGUGGCACCGAGCUGGCUCUCCCCAGCAGCCCAGGCCAGCUCGGAUCCCACGUGGAGCUGAGCACCUGCAUCUCAGGCAGGCCUGCGUGAGCCCUGAUACAAAAUGUGUCCCCCACCUCCCUUUCCAGGAUGUCAAUCCAGCCCCACUGCUGGGCUUUUGUCACUGCUGGGAACGGUCCCCAAAGUUGGGGACAGGAAGUGGGCCUUUCUGUUAAAUGAUGGAUGGACAAAUGGAUGGAUGAAUGGAUGUCUACAAGAACUGGAAGAAAGUAGCCACUAAGGGAGUCCUUCUCAGAGCGAAGGCCCACAGAAACCAUGGGAGCUGGUGGGGACCGGGCAGGCUCUGGGAGCCAGGAUUCCGGGGCCUGGAUCUCUGAACGCUUCUCCGGGGGGUGGGGGUAGAGAAGGAGGGGACCCACAGCUCUGCUCCUUAGUCUCUCCCCCCUGGAACUCUCCACACCCUGAAAGGCAGAACUACGUCUCUCACCGCCAGGCAGGAAUCCCCACCCCAGACUGACCUGCCACCAUGCCCCCAGCCCCGUGCCCACCCGCCCUACCCAUGGACAGAACAGACCCAGAAUGGCGUCCUGGCCUUGCUGCCCAGCCAACCGAGGCGGAAUGAAGGAAGGAAGGUUACAAACAGAUUGCCCCACAUGGGCCUCCCUGUGAACAAUUUCGGUAAUACCUUAACACAAAAACAGAGGGUCAGAGGGCCUUUUGUGUGCUUCAUCAAUCUGGAAAACACCAAACAGAAAGCUGGAGGAAAUUUAGAGAAAAAGUGACUAAACAUAGUUUUUGGUGAGGAUAUAAAAAUGAAUAAUGCCCUAACCUCUUGGAAGGCCCGAUAGUUCUCGCAGAGCUGUACUUGGGCCCACCGUGAGCUGUGAGGGGCGUCCCACUACCCCACUUCACAGAGCAGGACUCCGAGGCUCGAGCAGUUGCAACUUGCCUGUACAUAGGACGCGUGAAAAGCAAUGCUAGGGUGUCCACUGGAGAACUGUGAGCCUGAUUGAGUAAUUCUUACAGAGCUCAGUGUCUUCGCCAUUUUACGUGAGGCUGCUGGGUCUGUCACACCAUGAAAAACAACAUCGGGGGCACUCCACAGGACCGACGGGUUGCACUUGCUGUUUGCUUACAGCUCCCCAAAAGCAGACAAUCUUGGAGGCUCAUGUUUUAAUUCUCUUCAAGGCACUUGCAGACACUCACUGGAAAAGAAAAGUUGCGGGAAUGAAAGUGGCCGUUCCUCAUUACACCAGCAUGUGCGGCUCGGGAAGAACCCACAGACCAGGUGAGACUUAGCUGAUAUGCGGAAGGUGUUCACAGCCGCAAAACAGGCGUCUCCCAGCUUGUGUCUCCCAGGACAAAGAGGAGGGACCCUGGACUGCUCUCCUGACCUCUCUCUCUUCAGAUGUGAGCACGUGAAGAGCUAGGUGGGGUCUCACAUGUCAUCCAGAUCUGGUAUUUGCAGAAAGGGAGGAAAGAGAAAGACUUUGCUGGUCACCCUUAGAUCCCCCAUGGGGCCUGAGGUUCGGCGGCUGCACAGUUGGGGAAAUAGUUGCUCAGGACCCCGAUAGGUAACACAGAUGAUAGGAGGAGUGUAGCUCUGGGUGAGCAAUGGGGCAUCCUGCUUGCUCAGAUUCCCCUUUCCAUCCUUUCCACCCCAAACUCCAAAGACCACCCCCAGGAUUUCUCUGGUCUUCCCACAACUUGAAAGGCAUGACUCUAUUAUCCUGUAGACCCCUCGAGGCUUGGGACUAUGUAGGGACACCGUCUGUCUGGGACAUCUCCAGCACCUAGCAGCCUUCCUAACCAAUGGCAGCCACUUGGUGUUUGCUGAGUGAAUGAAUGACCCAUGGAUGAGUCAGCUAUUGCUAUGAUACCGUGUAAC